rnacentral:rRNA from 1 species
CCUACGGGUGGCAGCAGUGAGGAAUCUUGGUCAAUGGGCGAAAGCCUGAACCAGCCAAGCCGCGUGAGGGAAGAAGGUCCUGUGGUUUGUAAACCUCUUUUUUAGGGGAAUAAAGGCGUGCACGUGUCUGUUCAUGUUUCUACCGUAUGUAAAAGCAUCGGCUAACUCCGUGCCAGCAGCCGCGGUAAUACGGAGGAUGCGAGCGUUACCCGGAUUGAUUGGGUUUAAAGGGUACGUAGGGGGUUUUUUAAGUCAGCGGUGAAAGUUUGGGGCUCAACCAUAGAACUGCCGUUGAAACUGGGAGACUUGAGUGUGGAUGAGGUAGGCGGAAUGCGAGGUGUAGCGGUGAAAUGCGUAGAUAUCGCGAAGAACUCCGAUUGCGAAGGCAGCUUACUGGGCCAUAACUGACGCUGAGGCACGAAAGCGUGGGUAUCAAACAGGAUUAGAUACCCUGGUAGUC